GACGAACCGUGCGAACGUUGUUCGGAAUCACUGGGCUUAAAGGGCGCGUAGGCGGCUUGUCAAGUCAGGGGUGAAAUCUUUCGGCUUAACCGGAAAAGUGCCCUUGAUACUGACAGGCUCGAGGGAGGUAGGGGCAUGUGGAACCUCUGGUGGAGCGGUGAAAUGCGUUGAUAUCGGAAGGAACACCGGUGGCGAAAGCGGCGCGCUGGAUCUCUUCUGACGCUGAGGCGCGAAAGCCAGGGGAGCAAACGGG
rnacentral:rRNA from 1 species